GUGCCAGCAGCCGCGGUAAUACAGAGGCCCCAAGCGUUACUGAGAAUCACUGGGUUUAAAGGGUGCGUAGGUGGUCCGUUAAGUUCGUUGUGAAAUCCCUGGGCUCAACCCAGGAAAUGCUUCGAAUACUGGCGGACUUGAGGCUAGUAGGGGUCACUGGAACUGACGGUGGAGCGGUGAAAUGCGUAGAUAUCGUCAGGAACGCCAAUGGUGAAGACAGGUGACUGGGCUAGUUCUGACACUGAGGCACGAAAGCGUGGGGAUCAAACGGGAUUAGAUACCCCGGUAGUCC
rnacentral:rRNA from 1 species